rnacentral:rRNA from 1 species
GAGUUUGAUCGUGGCUCAGAUUGAACGCUGGCGGCAUGCCUUACACAUGCAAGUCGAACGGCAGCAUGAUCUAGCUUGCUAGAUUGAUGGCGAGUGGCGAACGGGUGAGUAAUACAUCGGAACGUGCCCUGUAGUGGGGGAUAACUAGUCGAAAGAUUAGCUAAUACCGCAUACGACCUGAGGGUGAAAGUGGGGGACCGCAAGGCCUCGUGCUAUAGGAGCGGCCGAUGUCUGAUUAGCUAGUUGGUGGGGUAAAGGCCCACCAAGGCGACGAUCAGUAGCUGGUCUGAGAGGACGAUCAGCCACACUGGGACUGAGACACGGCCCAGACUCCUACGGGAGGCAGCAGUGGGGAAUUUUGGACAAUGGGCGAAAGCCUGAUCCAGCAAUG